rnacentral:lncRNA from 1 species
CUUCCAAUUGCCAAACCAAAUCUGCUCCUGGGGGUUACAGAUAUUGAAGACAAUUUAAUACAGGAGAAGUUGCAAAUCUCCCCUUGGAUUUCUCGCUCCUUAAUUUAAAGCCUCCCAAAAUGAGCACUCCCAGGUUAAGGGUGGGAAAGGCUUUUCUCUGCUGAUCUGCUGCAGUGCCUGUCCCUUUUUAAACACCUCUGGAGAUAAGAAUCUUCCAGUUUAGACAUGAGGCACCCCAGUGCAUGGUUUGGGGUUAAACCAGCAUGUAAAGGGGUGGGAGGGGAUGUCCUUGCUACCCCCAAAAGAGCUGUAUCCCCCUGUCCUUCCACCUCUGCACCCCCAGUGGUUGCCACCAUUGUCCCUCUGGUCAGGGGAGACGCAUGAGCCAGUCUUGGAUGUCCCACGUGCUCCCUGAGGUACCUGGGGGAGUUUUCUCCUACAUCUUUUGGGGCAGUGCCUGUCCCAGCCAUGCUCCAUCCUCGCCUUUCAGCUAACAAGGAGCUGCCCAGGUUAUGAGCAGGGUUUGCAGCAACAACAGAAACGAAGCUCAAGACUUACUCUAGGAAAGUCCUUCCAGAAGGGUCACGGAGGAGGACUCAGGGAGGCUCUGGGAGGCAGCCACACUGUGCCCAGGGCACCCCGAGCAGCCUGGGCUGUGUCCCCAGCACUCCGUGCCCCUGCACCAGAGCAGCUCCGGGCCUUUGUGGCAGACACACCCCCGUGACCGCCCCCGAGCUUCACAGCUUCUGCUGCUGCCUCCCUCGCGCACCAACUCACCGGUUCUUAAAUAACACAAUUCCACGGGGCCAGAUCCGCACGCAGCAAGGAUGGAAGCUGUGCCACCAGCCCAGACCCCGUGUGAGAGACCCAUCAGCCCAGCUCCCGUUUGCCAUCAUUAAUCGCGCACGGAUGGGUGUGAGACUUUUACACAACCCUGACAGAAAUGAACCUCAGAGUCCCUUUUGUCCGUGUUUGGGAUUAUCCUCCUCCCUGUUACUGGAAGGAGUUAUUUAAGGG